rnacentral:rRNA from 1 species
GACGAACCGUGCAAACGUUAUUCGGAAUCACUGGGCAUAAAGGGCGCGUAGGCGGCUCCACAAGUCAGGGGUGAAAUCCGGCAGCUUAACUGUCGCAGUGCCUUUGAUACUGUGGAGCUAGAGGGAGGUAGGGGUCUGUGGAACUUCCGGUGGAGCGGUGAAGUGCGUUGAUAUCGGAAGGAACGCCGGUGGCGAAAGCGACGGACUGGAUCUCUUCUGACGCUGAGGCGCGAAAGCCAGGGGAGCAAACGGG